UCCCUGGUCUAGAACAAGAAGUGUCCAAUCCUGCUCCUGGAGGACCAACGUCCUGCUGAGUUUAGCUUCAACCGGGUCUGACACACUUGUCUGGAAGUUUUAGUGAAUCUGAAGACACUGAUUAGUUACUUCAGGUGUGUUUAAUUAGGGUUAAAGCAAAACUCUGAAGGACAGUGGUCCUCCAGGAACAGGUUUGGACACAUUUGAUUUGAAAGGUCUUCAGGGAAAUUGUAGCAAAUAAGUCGAGCAAUGAAGCGCAUCACCAGCACCUGAACCCAGUGUGGCACCUCCCUGUAUUUCAUUGAAUUAUGGUGGAGGACGCAGGUGUGUUGUGGCUAACUGACCUAUUAAAGGUGUCCCAUUAGCAGUGCUGGGAAGCAGGUCAUUCAUAAUGAGAAGAAAGACCGUAUAUCCCAGAAUGAGGGUCAUUUUGAAAGAGGAUCGAUCCACACUGUGCGGAGGCAAGUAGAACGACAGGAUGUCAAUGAUCAUGAGGAAGGAGCUGGGGAUGAUCAGGUUCACCACGUACAGUAUCGGCCGUCGCUUUAUCACCACCUGCAGGAUGGAAACCGUAAGACUUAGACUGACACAUUUAGCUUGAAGUGCUGUAUGUUUUUGUUUUUUUAAUUUAUUUUGGAAUAUCACCAUUUACUGUAUGUCCAUUUAAUAUUGUCAUUUACGAAGCUCCACUCAUGACAUUGAAAGUAAAAAUAUGUUGUGAUUCAUGGCCAGUAAAUAAAGAAUUU